rnacentral:rRNA from 1 species
GAUGAACGCUGGCGGCGUGCCUAAUACAUGCAAGUCGAGCGAACAGACGAGGAGCUUGCUCCUCUGACGUUAGCGGCGGACGGGUGAGUAACACGUGGAUAACCUACCUAUAAGACUGGGAUAACUUCGGGAAACCGGAGCUAAUACCGGAUAAUAUAUUGAACCGCAUGGUUCAAUAGUGAAAGACGGUUUUGCUUUCACUUAUAGAUGGAUCCUCGCCGCAUUAGCUAGUUGGUAAGGUAACGGCUUACCAAGGCAACGAUGCGUAGCCGACCUGAGAGGGUGAUAGGCCACACUGGAACUGAGACACGGUCCAGACUCCUAAGGGAGGCAGCAGUAGGGAAUCUUCCGCAAUGGGCGAAAGCCUGACGGAGCAACGCCGCGUGAGUGAUGAAGGUCUUCGGAUCGUAAAACUCUGUUAUUAGGGAAGAACAAAUGUGUAAGUAACUAUGCACGUCUUGACGGUACCUAAUCAGAAAGCCACGGCUAACUACGUG